rnacentral:lncRNA from 13 species
CUGGUCCCUCCUCUUCCUGGGUGGAACCUGGGAUUGAUUCAGCCUGCGAGGCAGGAAGCACAUUAGUAGCACUCUGGCUUUGCGGAGGGUCCCUAUUUCUCUUUCCCCCACCUUUUUGCCCAGUAAAUUCCAUUUUUUCUCACCCUUCAAAGUAUCUGCAACUGUAGUCUCUCAUGGCCAUGUGAGAAGCAGCCGGCUGUUAGCUGAACUAAGGAAAAGGUCCCACAGCACAGUUACAUCCUGCCUGGUCUGCUGCAGCGCAUCACAAGUUCUGCACGGAAAUUAAACGGCCAAAAGUAAACAGCCAACAAAUUAAAGUUGCAUGAGGUGAGUUUCCAAGAGCAGAACUCCCACCUACAUUGGACCAUGGAAAGAGGUGAGAUGCACUUAGGACAGCUCAGUUUGUGUUCGUUCAUCAUCCGGGAGCCAGUUGAAUGCUCUUCAUAAGGAUUCAUUUCAAGACUAAAAUACUCCAGGAAGUUUUUAAACUUGAAAACCAGUUUCCAACUAAGAUAUUUAAGUUGGUCAUGACACCUAGAGAGGACUUUUUCAGCCCCUAAUCCCUGUUCCACUGAGAGCUAAGAUGAUGGUCUAUCUUGACAGCAGGAAGCCGACAGAUGCCAAAGGUC